CUCGAGACAAAAUCCAGGGGGCGUGGCUGCGCUACGUAUCUUCGCGAGAUUUUCAAGGACGUAUCCACAGAAGAAGAUUGUGGAGCAUUAUCUAUAGAAGUCUUGAUCUUGUCACUGUCAGUUUUCUCGUUUAAUUCUUGUUGAUGCUGAAAUAUUCUGCAUCCUG